rnacentral:rRNA from 1 species
UACAGAGGGGGCAAGCGUUAUUCGGAAUUAUUGGGCGUAAAGGGCGCGUAGGCGGCUUUUCAAGUGACGGGUGAAAUCCCUCGGCUUAACCGAGGAACUGCCUGUCAGACUGGAAGGCUUGAGACCGGGAGAGGUGAGUGGAAUUCCCAGUGUAGCGGUGAAAUGCGUAGAUAUUGGGAGGAACACCAGUGGCGAAGGCGGCUCACUGGACCGGAACUGACGCUGAGGCGCGAAAGUGUGGGGAGCAAACAGG